rnacentral:rRNA from 1 species
AUGGACCCCACUCUCUGGGCCAUACCCCCAAGCACAUUCUUGGCGGACAGCGGCACUGACGUCUGCUCAAAAUUCUUCUCGGCGGCCAGCGACAGUGUCUGCCCCGGCUGCUCGCGUCCGAUGGACACGUGUAAGGGGCAUAUACUUGUCGAAGCCAAGGAGCCCGCGGCCACGAUGACUCCAGCGCAACCGACCUACACCGUCGGGGACGACCUCUCGGUGGCUCCGGCGUCCAAUGUGGUGUCGGGCAUCACCCUGCUCGUGCGGCGGCGUCAAGGACCUGAGCACGCUGCAGGAGAGGACGGUGAAGAUCGGCAAGGAAGAGGCGCUGGCGAUACUCGCUGCUUCCCUCACGUCCAAGACCGUGCUGACUGA